CAUACUGCAAUUGAGGCGUGGAUUGAUAUGAUUGUGGAUGCUGUUUUUGGAGACGAGGAAUGUGCAGGAGCUUGAGACACUGAUGCAAAAUGGAGUGAAAAGCUCUGAGCUUUCUGAAUCAGUUAUGAAUGCACAUUCACCUCACAAACUGACAGAAAGGACGGGCUACUCUUUCAUUAUGCCUUUGGAGCUCACAACUCCAAAGGUUACUCUAGUUGAAUAAACGGAUAGAGUGAUGGCAUAGAGGAUUGUCUUUAGCUGUUAAGACACUAGGAGGUCUCUCAGAGUCUCAGCCACUAAACUGGAUGUUGGUUAUUGGAAUGAAGUAUCGAAUAGCACCUUAUGGAAUUGUUGCCCAAGAAAGAUUAUGUUCUAUGUCUUGAAAAUUGAGUUACCGUCAUCUCCCUUUGAAUCUAAAAAGGCGGUUUGCUUAUUGUUCUGUAUUUCCAAAAUGCUAUGGGCUAACCUGGGAAGAGCUGGUCCAGGAGAAUGUGUCAACAGAAUUGAAACAUUUGCUCCAUCUCAACUAAAAGCCUAAACUGAUAGUUAGAUUGCACAUUAAUGGUUAUAUGCUCAACAAACAGGUGGAGGAUAAAUAGAAAAGACUUGCCAUUUCUCAUGCUUUUGCUGCAAAUAUGGCUGUCUUAAAAAAAUUUGAGUUGCUUCAUGAAAUGAAUUCUCUUUGUGGUUC